AGUAGAAUUGCAGGGUCAUAUGGUAAUUAUUUUACUUUUUCUGGAAUAAAUUGUUUUCCAUAGUGGCUGCACCAUUUUACCUUCUACCAGCAAU
rnacentral:pre_miRNA from 1 species